ensembl:lncRNA MIR3976HG MIR3976 host gene
AAGAUUAUGACUUCUAUCUUGCUAGUAGACCCUCUCCAUUAACUCUCUCUCUUUCUGAUUGAGUGUAAGCUGCUAUAUGAAGGGAUCCACAAGACGAAUAAUUAAGGGGGACCUCUGAUCAACAGCCAGCAAGGAACUGAAUCCCUCAGACCCACAACUCACAAGAAACUGAAGCUGAAGCAGAUUCUUCCUCAGUCAAGCUUCAGGACCUGCUUUGCAGAAAGGAUCUCAUUGAGAAUAGCAAAAGGAAGUUGGGAACCAUUACAGUGCCCAGCUGUAUUGGUAGAGGAGACCAACCACACCCUCCACAGCACAGCACCUGGAGAGGAACUGCUGCCAUGACCAUAGAGGACACCCUCUGGAUACAAUGCCAGACUUGAUGUGGGACUGACCAACCUAUGGACCCCAGGCACCACCACCCAGACCUGCUCAGCACCUGAAACAUUCACAGCCGUGGAGAGAGAACUGUUCACUGCUACCAUCCACACUUCUGGGCCCCUUCAGCAGCAGGGUGACAAGGAAGAGGGAAAUCGACUUGGAAAAGAGGUUUAACAAAGCAUGGACAGCCCUGUAGAACUGUGAUUGGACAAAAAACGUACAAUCUAAUGCUAAUAGACUGAGUGAGGAAACCCAGCAAGGGCCUGUCUGUCUAGAUUCUUCUUGGCCUCCCUGGACACGCAUUUCUUCCUUCAAAGUAUGGGGCAGGACCCUCUCUGGAAUGGGGGUAUUAGGACCUACAGUCAAAUAAGGGGACCUCUGACCCAAGAGUUCGGUCAAUGCAUAUGUUGGCAGCCAGCUGCACAUCGCACCAAAUAUGAACUUCAAAUAGAAGAAAGCCUCAUUUGGAAGAAAGCUCAUGCACAGACUGUAAAUAUUUCAGAGCAGAUUGUGUCUCUGUAGAUUAAGUAAGUUGUGAAAGUCUGAACCUCUGCCAAAAUUUUAAGACCUUGACCUUUACAUCUCUGAGUUUCUAUCUGUCAUUUUUCCUUUCUAUCUGUCAUUUUACCUUUCAUACUUAUAAAAUGGAAUUCAUAAUC